ensembl:lncRNA
GGUCGUGUGCUGAUCCAGAUGUUGAGCUGCACAGAGCUGUUGGAGACUCGCUGGAAUUAAUCGCUGAUUAUCCAAAAAAAGAUCUUGAAGUGCUGUGGAAUUAUAAUCAGGCUACAUUUGCUGAGUAUCGAAAUGAUGAUUUACAAAAAGUGAAAUCUGAAUUAUUUAGUGACAGGUUAAGGAUGAAUAAGGACAGUAUUAGUGUAACAGUAACAGACCUUAAACUCCAGGAUUCUGGAAGAUUCUCUAUUGUUGCAGAAAAUAAAUCUGUACAACUUAAGACAAAAGGCUUUGUACUACAUGUUCAUGGUGAGUUUAAUUAUAUGAUAUUUAUUCUGUCAGAAUGUAAAUAACAAAUUCUAAAAGAACACAUUUAAUUACUGAUACUGAAUAUGCUCAUGGUCAUUUAAAUGAGGUUAAAUUGUUUCUUAAUGAAGGAAUAAGUAUGCUUAUAUAAUUAAUAUUUGCAUAUUAUUUUCCAAUAGAUCUCAUCAAAGAGGUAAAGAUUGAGUAUGAUUAUGUCUGGGUACAGUCAAAAUACAUCUGCAUGUUUGAUCUUCGGUGUGUGGCGUCUGGUGAUGAGAAUCCCUCCUACAGCUGGAUCAGUCGUCAGACUCAGGGACAAUAUCUGAAAAUCAACCUCAGUUUAGGAGAGAAAUCUACAUUUAACUGCACAGCCAACAACAUCGUCAGCAUCAAGUACACUAUCAAGACUGUAGAGUGCACAGAGAAAACUAAUAAUUCAACAUCAGAGUUUGUUCUGAUCGCGGCUGGCGUGGGAAUCGUGGCUGUGGUCAUCUUCGGUGCAACACUCGCUGUGUGCUGCAGGUGGAGGAGGAACAGAGGCCAAGGAGAGAGUGAAGCUGGGAUUACAGUGUAUGAAGACGUGAACAUUGAUGCCCCUGCAAAGAAACGAUCUGAAAGUGUUGUAAACGGCAUGACUAUCUAUGAAACGGUGGAUGAUGCAAAACUCUCACAAAACUUGGUGAGUACUUGCAUGCGUGCUUCAGAAACACCCAUUAUUGCUGUCAUCCGUUUGUUUGCUUAUAAAUUAGGCUCAUAUCAUGCAUUUACUACCAUAAUCCUAGUUACUGCACAUACCACAGUAAGCUAA